GCUGGGGUGGCUCAGUGGUAGAGCACUUGCCUUGCAUGCAUGAGGCCCUGGGUUCAAUUCCUCAGUA
rnacentral:tRNA from 1 species